rnacentral:lncRNA from 1 species
ACUCUUAAUUAAUUAACAGUUAAACUCGGUUGAUUUUUCCUCUAUCAAAAUCAGUCACUCACGCAGAAUUCAAUUGGCUUUUCGUCUUCAUCUUUCACGUUCAUUUUCGAGAAAAUCUAAAGUCGAGAAGCAAAGGUUAGCAUAUUAAAUCAGGUUCUCAGAUUACAAACCCUCACACCAGGUUCGUUUUAGUUGUUUUUAGUUGUAUAUCCAUCAUGUUAUCAACUUUGUUUUUUCUCUAAUUUUGUUGUAUUCCCAUGAAUUUGAAAAACACAAUCGUGUCUUCAUCUCUUUUUUAAUAGAAAGAGACAAUAAAUCUUCUACCGAAUUAUUUAUAUCUGUAUUAUUUUGGAGCAAUGUCAAGCAUGAAGCCAGUAUUGUUUGCAAACCAUUAAAUAUUGCCUUCAUUGGCGGUGUAAAUAAAUAUGGGUGGUCCUUGGUGUAAGUACUUGUUGUUAAUGAGGUACUUUUGGUUCAAGGGUUUGUUCAAAAUGAAUUAGAUCUCUGAUUGGGGAGGGUUUCUUCAUGAAUUUGUACAAAAAUGAAUUAGGUAUGUGAUUUGGGGUUUUUUAUUCGUGAAAAUUGGGUAUGUGAAUAGGGUUUUUUUCAUGAAUUUAUUCAAAAAAAUGAAUUGGGUAUGUGAUUUGGGGUUUUUUGUUCUUGAAUUUGUUUAAAAAUGAAUGGGUAUGUGAUUUGGGGUUUUUUCUUCAUGAAAAUUGGGUACAACUUCCCAUAUGUGUUUCCCCUGCAAUAAUUUUCCACAUUUUGGUUGCUUAUUAUAAAUUGAAUUGUUUUACUUGAGAUGCAUGUGUUAUUUCUAAUUGGCAAAUUAUUCUGACAAGGAGAUAUUUCAAAUUAACUAUAAUGAAUUUAAUUCAAUUUCCUUUCAAAUGUUGUGAUUCUUUCGUGUGUUAUGCAAGUUCUAAUUGGAGGGGUGUUACAGACUGAUUGAUGUACUCAUGAGUAAUUGUUGAAGCUGAUCAAUGCCAAGAACAUUAUGGAUAUAAUACUCGAGAAUUUCUGAAUAUUAUUAAUAAAUAUAUUAAUAAAAAUCGAGUAUUUAUUUGAGUAUAAUUGCAUAUUGUUGUGACAAGAGUUAUAGUACUUCUAUUCACUUAAAUUAAGUGUUGAGAAAUAUAUGACAGUAAGGUAAUGUAGUAACAUUGGUGAAGAGUUUAAUAUAAAGCUUGUGAGAAUUGCCUAGUGCGGCAUAAUAAAGGACUAAGAAAUUCAUUAAGUGAAUUAAGAGAGAGACUAUUUAAUAAGAGAAAGAUUAAUUAUGUGUAAUUAUAUAUAAUGGAAUGAUUAUAUAACUCCAUGCAUGAAAUAAAUAAGAUUUUUAGCUAGUAGUAUUAUCAAUUUGGGAUUUAAGUCAUGUUAUGUGAAACUGGUAUAAUGGUAGAGGUCGGGACUGACAUGAAGCUAAACCAGUUGAGCACUGCCAGGGACCGGCGCAGCUGCGCCCUUCCUGCAGUACAAACUGGCGCAGCUGCGCCAGUGGCCAGAGUUUGAAAGUUUUUUAUUACUGUAGAAAUUAUAUACAACAUUAUUGUAAUGUGUGACAUUAUUAAAAUCAUAUGAUAAGAGUACAUUUAAUGGUAUGAGGUACCAAGUAGCAUAAUAAAAUUUUGUGACAUUUUAAUACAUAAACAAUUAAUUAACUGUGUAUCUCAGAAAUUCAGAAAAGAAUUAAAUGUUUUAAUUUUUAAAAUAGACAUUUAAUAUUGGAUAGUGUUAUAAUAUUGAUGUAUGUGCACUAAUAAUAUCUAUGGAGAAUACCCGGUCAAUAAUACCUAACUGCAUUAUUUUAUCUGCAUUAAAUAUUAAAUUAUAUGAACCCAAUGUACAUGGAUUAUAUGAUAUGGGUACCUAUAUAAUCCCUAACUUUUCAUUAUGUAGUAACAUUUGUACAUUAGAAUCACAUGAGGGAACAAAAAGGGAAUUAAAUUAACCACAAUUGAACCAAAUGCUGAGGAUUUAAAAGCUUUGUUCCGUUUCAGUUACCAAACAGUAACCUAUAUCUACUUUAUGUAAAAUGCAAAGCUAAGCAUAGUGACUACAACCUACGUGAUGAUGGCUGGAGAUGGCUGAGGAAAUGGUGGUUGACCAACUCUUAUAUAACCAUUCUUUUCUUCUUCUACCCAUUGGAUUCCAAACUUAAUGCAAAACCAUUAACCAGACAACCAUUUCUCUAUAAAUGGCAGCUUCAUUUUCAAUUCUUGUUGCUGUAAAUUGUCUGAGGAAUUAUAAGUUGAGAGUGUGAGUUUCUUUGUUGAGUAGGAAGGAGUCUGAGAUUGUAAAUAGUAGACAUUUAAGCUUCAAGAAGGUAAAAAUCUGAUUUUGUGUUCUUAAUUUCUAACUUGAUGAAUUCCUGGAAUUUCUAUGAAAACUUCUGCGAUUAUGGUUGUGGAUUGAUAUAGAUGUGUUUAUUAAGCUUGUUUACAUAUAUGAUGUAAGACCCCGAAUUUUAUGAAAUGAAAGUAUUCAAUUUUCUUAUAAUUAUUAUUUUAUUUCGUAAAUGGUUAAAUUGAUAAGAGGUUAAAGUUAAGGGUGAUAUGUGAAAAUUUUGCAAAGUAAGGAAGUUGAUGUAAAAUAUUCAUUGUGUCGGAGAGUAUUCGUUUUAACAGGGAAUAUUCGUACGACGGCAUAAUCAUUGGUGGACCCCACAACGAAAGUAUUGUCGUAGUUAGAAAAUGACAGAAAUAUAUUUUUAUAAAAAUAACGGCGAAAGUUUUACCGUUAAACUGUUGAACUACUCGGUAGUAAAAGUACAGUAAUACGCGUGGUUGCAUAGUAGCACACGAUAUUGAUUAUUGAUGCUUACUAAAUCACUCAGUUAUACUCAAUUAUUGUUACAUAAUUGCUGCAUCAUAUCUCUCAUAUUAUUGAUUCAAUUAUUGUCACAAUAUCAUCUGCAAAAUAUUUUAUAUUAUUAAAUCAAUAAUUGAGACGACAAAGUUAUUUAUAUUAUUAUUUGCAAUAUUGACAAUGUCUAGAAGUUCUGUCAAGGAGAGGUUUGGUCACCUAAUUGCGCGCCAAUAAGGAGAAAUCCUUAUCGGAAAGCCCCCUCUUUCCUGGGAACGACCUGGUUGUUAAAUAUUGUGAGUUAUAAUAUUAAUAAUGAAUAAGUUCGUGUUGAUUAAAGAUAAAAUUUAUAGUUCCAUUGUGUUGAGAUUAUUAGUGUUAGUGGAAAUCGAUAUUUAUUUCGAUAAUAAUUGAUGUCUGGAAGUUAUAUUAACCAAUCGAGUAAUUAAUCGGAUAAAUUAGUAAUUAAUUACUAUUAAUUCACAUGCUUAAUUGCUAUUAAUUCGCUUGAAAUAAUAUUUUCUUCCAUACUCUAUAGUAUGUAAGUAAUAUUAUUUCAUUUCAGAUUUUGAAUUCUAUACUCAUUUUGUUGAAGUUUUGGCUUUUAUACUCCAUGAAAUUAGUAGAAUAUCUUUGAUAUUUGCGCUUCAUCCAAUAUCUUUUCAUGGAAAUAUUAUUCUGAGCUUUCUUGAUAAUUAUUGAUCUUUUCAUGACGAAGUACUAUUCACGAGUUACUAUUUAUGGGUUACUAUUCACCCGGUUACUAUUCACUCAAAUAUUAUUCAUUCGGGUAUUCGGGACACUUUUCAUGUCGAAGUACUAUUCAUGAGUUACUAUUCACCCGAAUAUUAUUCACUCGGGUAUUUGGGGUACUUUUCAUGCCAGGGUACUAUUCACGAGGUAUUAUUCCUGAAGUACUAUUCACAGGGUACUAUUCACGGGGUACUAUUUACCCGAAAAAUACAUUUUUUUUCUGUCCAAAUUAUUUUUGGUACAUAAAUAUUAUUCUUGAAUUUUACUCCACAAAGCAGUAUCAUGUUGACAAUUUAGAUAUUUUUAAACUCUGAAUAAAUUUAAAGUCUUUAAUAUUUAUCCUUGAUUUCAUUUGAUUAAUGCUUAUAUCAUUGUCAUCAUCAUCAUGCUUAUAUUGUGAUGAAAGUCAUCUUUGGCUUACGUGCAUAGAUGGACUGUUGAUUGGUAUGAUUAUGACAAGGGAUCAUUCGGUAUAAUCAUGACCCCUAAUGUUACAAAUGAUGUGGUAAAAGUCCUCAUUAGUCCGUAGUGCAUUGAUGAACAAUUGUUAGUAUGAUUAUGACCAGGGAUUAUUCGGUAUAAUCAUGACCAUUGAUGAUUACAUGAAUAUAUUUGGCCCGUAGUGUAGGGAUGAUUCGAUGAUGUGGUUUAUUUAUUAAGCUGAGUCUCAACGAUAAAGUUGAUGAAAAACUUUUUAAAUCAUAGAAGAUAGUAGAUAUCAUGCUCUACUUGACUCUUCUAAUGGAGUGCUUAUUCCGCUGCAGUUGUUGAUCUAAAACGUGUUGUCUAGUAUAUUCUAUCAGUUGUUAUACUGUUGAAGGCUAAGGAUAAUUUAUUCUGCAUUAUCUUAGUCAUGAUAUUUCUUACUGGGCUAGUUGAGCUCACCCUUUUCUUUCAUUGUUCUCUUCAGGAAAUGAGAAUAUAGCUGGGAUGAGUCGGGAAAUGGAGUGAUGAUCCAGGAUAAGUGGCUUUAGUAGUCCUCACUAUUCUGUGAAAUAGUGUGAUAAUAAUUGUAAUGGGGACUCCAUUGAGAGUGGAUAUUGUCUAGAAGGCAAUAUUCUUGUUUAAACUCUCAGCUAUGUUUUGUCGUAUAUUACCCGACAGUUGUAUAAUUAAGUUUGUAUUUGAUUUAUGUACCAACUAUCUGGCGACUCAAGAUGGGUUAUGUAUACCUAUUUUGGGGGCGUCACAGUUGGCAUCAAAGCUUAGGGAUAUGAUCCUUGGCUGAGAUGUGAGACUAGAACUAGGAGGGGAGAGACAGGUAAUUCCUUUGCUAGUAUGACCUAUCUAAGUUUAUUUGGUAUUUAAUUGGUCGGUCAGAGUAUAGGGAUAAUAUGUGAUAUGUCAAUUAACCCUUGUUUUGUGACAAUGUUUAAAAAUGGCAUCUGAAAAUGUUGAGAUCAGCAAUGAAGCACAUGAGACCGUUGAGUCACCAACGAUCAAUACCCAGGAUAAUGUGCAACAGGAAGACAAUAAUCCUCAGGUAAAUAACAACACCGAUCAGAUGAUGAACGAUGAGAUAUUCAGAGGCUUUAUGCAAUUCAUGCAACAUCAGGCGAGAGAGACUCCUGUUCAAAAUUCAGAUGAAAAUACUGGCAACUCUCGGAUGGUCAUUGCUAAGCAGUUCAAGGAGCUGGGACCGCCGGAGUUUUUGGGAAAGCCAGAACCACUUAAGGCGAAGACGUGGAUAAAGCAAAUCACCAAGAUAUUUGAUGUCUUGAAAUGCUUAGAGGAACAAAAGGUUCCCUUCGCCACCUUUAUGUUGCGUGAAGAGGCAGAUUAUUGGUGGGAAUCUGUAAAGCGUACCCAGCCUGACGCACUCAAGAUGUCUUGGAAGAAGUUUCAAGAGUUGUUCAACGACAAGUACUUUCCCGAAAGUAUUCGUCACAUGAAGGUGGUGGAAUUCAUCAAGUUGGAGCAAAACAAUAUGACUGUGUCGCAAUACGAGACUAAAUUUGCUGAGUUAUCCCGGUUUGCAUCCUAUUUGGUCGAUAAUGAGGAGCGAAUGACGCAAAUGUUUCUAAGAGGUUUGAAACUCGAUAUACGUCAAUACCUCAUUUCUCGCAAACUUUGUUUAUAUUCAGAUGUUGUGAAUAGGGCUCAGUUAUUAGAGCGCGAUAAUGAGUCAGCACAACCAAAAGGCAACGACCAACAACACGAUAAUAAUCAUACCGGUGGGAACGGCCAUCGGAACAACGAUAACCAUCAUGGGGGAAAUUAUCAUGCCAAGAAUGGUAAACACUUCGGUGGUAAUCAUGGCAAAGAUAAUAGAAGUGGAAAAUUCAGAAAGAGAAGAUUUAACGAUGAUGGGAAGACGUCGGCAGCAGCACCAACACCAAUAACAAAUUCUAGGGGAGGAGAACGACCGCCAGUUAGAUGCUAUAGAUGCGGAGAGGAGGGACACAUAAGUCCAAACUGUUCACAACCUUCCAACGUAUAUUUUAGUUGUGGAAAAGACGGUCACAUAGCUUGAUUUUGUCUUGUUGCGAAAUCAAGUCUAGCUGGGAUGGUGGCACCAAAGGCAGAUACGGACAAAAUAAAGUCGGUGGUUUUAGGAAGAGCAUUUUUCGUGACUUCUCAAAAAGCGAGUAACUCGAACAAAGUUAUCAUGGGUUAGUUAAUCAUAAACUCUUGCGAAGUCUAUACCUUGUUAGAUACAAUUUCUACCCAUUCUUUUAUUUCUCCUACUUGAGCUCAAUGUUUAAAUUUAAAUCCAGAGAAAUUAGACUUUGACUUAUCUGUUGAAACUCUAUUAGGAGAAACCUUAAUUACAUGUGCUAUCCAAGUAUUGGAUGGGAGUCACAGUUUUUAAAUGAUAUUUUUAUCGUUAAUAAAUUUCAUGACGUAUUCUCUGAAGACUUCCUGACCUACCCUAGAGCGUGAAAUCAAAUUUUAUAUUGACCCCAGUACAAAAUCCAUUUCUAAAACCCUUAAAUAUUUCUUCAACCAAAACGAACGUAUAAUGCGCCAAAGACAUUGGCUCGAGUUGUUGAAGAUUACGACCACACCAUUCAAUAUUAUCGUGGAAAAAAUGAACGUGGUAGCUGAUGCAUUGGGUAGAAGAUCGUAUGCGUUUACGAUUGUAACGUUGUUAACACAAAGACCCAUUUCGUAUAACUUACAAAUAAUGAAGAUAGAGUUAAAGACCCUAAGGACCCACGUGGUGAUAUCAAAUAUACGAAUAGAAUCGACUUUAAUCAAUAAAGUUAAAAGUCGUUCAAGCUACAGACCCGGAGCUGAUGAAUACGAAGAGGAAGGUUCAAGAAGGCGUUAUUCUAGAAGCAAGACUCGAUCAAGAGAGGAAAUCUCAACCCUUGAUUUUAUUGGUCUAUUUGAAAUCCUCGAUCGAGUAGGAACUGUGGCCUAUAGGCUCGUUUUACCACCAAGUAUGUUGCAUGUUCAUAACGUUUUUCACGUAUCGAUGUUACGUAAAUAUGUGGACGACCCGAACCAUAUUAUUGAAUUAGAACCGGACGAAAUAGCGGAAGAUUUAACGUAUGAGGAGAUACCUGUUAAAAUCUUGGAUAAGAAGAAUCAUAUUCUACACUCAAAGGUUAUACCUCAAGAGUUAGAAUCUGACGAGGUAUCCUCACCUCUUCGGCAUACCAGGUAUGUACGUAAAUUUCGAGGGCAAAAUUUCAUAAAGAGGGGAGAUUGUAAGACCCCAAAUUUUAUGAAAUGAAAGUAUUCAAUUUUCUUAUAAUUAUUAUUUUAUUUCGUAAAUGGUUAAAUUGAUAAGAGGUUAAAGUUAAGGGUGAUAUGUGAAAAUUUUGCAAAGUAAGCAAAUUGAUAUAAAAUAUUCAUUGUGUCGGGGAAUAUUCGUUUUAACAGGAAAUAUUCGUAUGAUGGCAUAAUCAUUGGUGCACCCUAUAACGAAAGUAUUGUCGUAGUUAGAAAAUGACAGAAAUAUCUUUUUAUAGAAAUAACGGUGAAAGUUUUACCGUUAAACUGUUGAACUACGCAGUAUUAAAGUAAAGUAAUACGCGUGGUUGCAUAGUAGCAUACGGUAUUGAUUAUUGAUGCUUACGUGAGAAAUCACUGAGUUAUACUCAAUUAUUGCUACAAUAAUUGCUGCAUCAUAUCUCUCAUAUUAUUGAUUCAAUUAUUGUCACAGUAUCAUCUGCAAAAUAUUUUAUAUUAUUAAAUCAAUAAUUGAGACGAUAAAGUUAUUCAUAUUAUUAUUUGCAAUAUUGACAAUGUCUAGAAGUUCUGUCAAAGAGAGUUUUGGUCACCUAAUUGCGCGCCAAUAAGGAGAAAUCCUUAUCGGAAAGCCCCCUUUUUCCUGGGAAUGACCUGGUUAUUAAAUAUUGUGAGUUAUAAUAUUAAUGAUGAAUAAGUUCGUGUUGAUUAAAGAUGAAAUUUAUAUUUCCAUUGUAUUGGGAUUAUUAGUGUUAGUGGAAAUCGACAUUUAUUUCGAUAAUAAUUGAUGUCUGAAAGUUAUAUUGACCAAUCGGGUAAUUAAUCGGAUAAAUUGGCAAUUAAUUGCUAUUAAUUCACAUGCUUAUAACUAUGUGUUCACAUGUGUGUACUAUUGAUUCACAUGUAUGUACUAUUAGGGGAGGUAGCGCAAGAUUGAUAAUACUUGUAUGACUAAAUUAAAAAUAAAGGUAUAGAUGAAGGUACUAUCUUGUAAUUAUUUUUUUCACAUGUAUAAAACUAUUGAGUCACAUGAUUGUACUAUUGAUUCACAUGAUAUACUAUUAGGGGAGGUGGUGCAAGUUUGAUAAUACUUGCAGGACUAAAUUAAAAAUGAAAGAAAAAAAAUGAAGGUAUUAUACUGUAAUAUUUCGAGCCCCAAAACGUGCAAUUAUCGAAACUAUAUUUUUCUAUAAAUCAAAGCUCAUUCUUCCUUCAUUCUCACCAAUUCACUAAGACUCAUAAGAGCAAUUAUAGAGAGAGAUGCUAUAUAGAGAGAAGCUAUAGAGAGAUAGAAGAAGAGUAGUCUGCUACUUCACUACUCAAGUAUCUAGUCUUCUUCUGAGGUAAGGGGUAUUAUUUAUUUCAUAUUUUGAAGAGAUAUUAUUUUUCGUAUUCGUAUGAAUAUUAUUUUCAUUCAAUAUUCGUAAGGAUUAUCAUCUUCGUUCAAUAUUCGUAGGAAUAUUAUUUUCGUUCAACAGUCGUAAGGGGUAUUAUUUAUUUCAUAUUCUGAAGAGAUAUUAUUUUUCGUAUUCGUAUGAAUAUUAUUUUCGUUCAAUAUUCAUAAGGAAUAUUAUCUUCGUUCAAUAUUCGUAGGAAUAUUAUCUUCGUUAAAUAUUCGUUGGAAUAUUAUUUUCGUUCAACAGUUGUAAGGGAUGUUAUUUUUGUUCAAUAUUCGCUUGAAAUAAUAUUUUCUUCCUUACUCUAUAGUAUGCAAGUAAUAUUAUUUCAUUUCAGAUUUUAAAUUCUAUACUCAUUUUGCUGAAGUUUUGGCUUCUAUACUCCAUGAAAUUAGUAGAAUAUCCUUGAUAUUUAUGAUUCAUCUAGUAUCUUUUUAUGGAAAUAUUAUUUUGAGCUUUCUUGAUAAUUAUUGAUCUUUUCAUGACAGAGUACUAUUCAUGAGUUACUAUUCAUGGGUUACUAUUCACUCAAAUAUUAUUCACUCGGGUAUUCGGGGCACUUUUCAUGCCAGAGUAGUAUUCAUGAGUUACUAUUCACCCAAUUACUAUUCACCCAAAUAUUAUUCACUCGGGUAUUUGGGGUACUUUUCAUGUCGAGGUACUAUUUAUGAGGUACUAUUCCCGAAGUACUAUUCACAGGGUACUAUUCAAGGGGUACUAUUUACCCAAAAAAUACAUUUCUUUUCUGUCCAAAUUAUUUUUGGUACAUGAAUAUUAUUCUUGAAUUUUACUCCACAAAGCAGUAUCAUGUUGACAAUUUAGAUAUUUUUAAACUCUGAAUAAAUUUAAAGUCUUUAAUAUUUAUCCUUGAUUUCGUUUGAUUUGUUUUCGUUUGAUUAUUGCUUAUAUCAUUGUCAUCAUCCUCAUUCUUAUAUUGUGAUGAAAGUCAUCUUUGGCUUACGUGCAUAGAUGGACUAUUGAUUGGUAUGAUUAUGACCAAGGUUCAUUCGGUAUAAUCAUGACCCGUAAUGUUACAAAUGAUGUGGUAAAAGUCCGAUUUGGCCCGUAGUACAUUGAUGGACAGUUGUUGGUAUGAUUAUGACCAGGGAUUAUUCGGUAUAAUCAUUACCAUUGAUGAUUACAUGAAUAUCCUUGGCCCGUAGUGCAGGGAUGAUUCAAUGAUGUGGUUUAUUUAUUAAUCUGAGUCUCAGCUAUAAAGUUGAUGAAAAACUUUUUAAAUCAUAAUUUAAGAUAGUAGAUAUCAUGCUCUACUUGACUCUUCUAAUGGAUUGCUUAUUCCGCUACAGUUGUUGAUCUAAAACGUGUUGUCUAUUAUAUUCUAUCAGUUGUUAUAUUGUUGAAGGCUAAGGAUAAUUUACUCUGCAUUAUCUUAGUCAUAAUAUUUCUUACCGGGCUAGUUGAGCUCACCCUUUUCUUUCAUUGUUCUAUUCAGGAAAUGAGAAUAUAGCUGGGACGAGUCGGGAAAUUGAGUGAUGGUCCAGGAUAAGUGGCUUUAGUAGUCCUCACUAUUCUGUGAAAUAGUGUGAUAAUAAUUGUAAUGAGGACUCCAUUGAGAGUGGAUAUUGUCUAGAAGGAAAUAUUCUUAUUUAAACUCUCAGCUAUGUUUUGUCGUAUAUUAAGACAGUUGUAUAAUUAAGUUUGUAUUUGAUUUAUAUACCAAAUAUCUGGCGACUCAAGAUGGGUGAUGUAUACCUAUUUUGGGGGCGUCACAUAUGAACCCUUUAUAGAUAGGUUUAAGCAUGUUUAGAAUGAAGGAAUCGAAGGUGGGUUUGAUACUCUGCAGAUAGAGCUCUUUCAUGGUUCUUUUCAGGAAGGGCGCAACUAUGCCCAGUUUGUACUAGGGUGCAGCGCAGCUGCACCAGUCCCCAGAACCAGAUUCUGGCUUCUGUUGUGCUGUGAUAUUUCUAGCCUACAAGUUUGGUUUAGAUAUGCAUGAAAACAAGUAUAAUAUGUAGUAUAAAGCUCUCUUAUAAGAUAUGAAUUGUCCAAGCAUGACCUAGUAGGAAUUCUAUAACAAAAGCUUAAAGUUUUGAAAACAAACUUUGAUGGAACUUGUAUUCUACAAAUUCUGAGCAUGAUAAUAUACAUAUAUGACUUAUUUAUGAACAUAAAUGAGCAUGGGUUGUGAUGUAUGGUCCCUUUGUUCUUGUCCAAAUUGUGUGGCUUUAAACUAAAUGCUUUUUCAAGGGAAAUUUGACGUAUUUGAAACUAAUAUCCAUGGAUACCACAACGAAUAUGUUCUAAUUCGUUGGGCAUGAGUAUAAGGUCUAGUCAUGCAUGAAAUAGGGUUAUAAGAUGCUUCGUAUGCACUACAUUGCCUUGACUUGUUUUAAAACAAUUUCAAAAGCAAACUCGGAUAUUUGAUCUUCGUAUUGAAUGUAAGUCCCUAAACUCUUUACAAUAUAUAUGUUAUAUAAUUCUGAAUUAUUGUCAUCCAAUCACACUUAUAUCAAGUAAAUAUCUAUUGCUAUUCAAAAAUCAUUUGUAUAUCUUGAUAUAGUUGUAAGCAUUGAACUUAUUGUUUUUAAAUACAUUAUAAACGUUGUCUAAGCCAUUGAUUCGGCUAGACUAUUAUCGUAUGUUGGAAAGCUAUCCAGACCAAUCGAAUUGGUGCGGACUCUUAUAAUUGACUGAGAUGAACAACCCUGCUUGAAGGGGAAACUAUAUAAUUAUCGGGAGACUGACGUGAGCACAUGAGUAUGAUUAAAUGUUAUUCAUAAUGUAGGGUACUUAGGUUGAUCACCUGUUAUACUCAUGUUAUUAAAUUUUUAGUGUAAUACUAUUAAUUCUAGUAGAAGUGUUUAGUCCUUAGUGACUGCUCAGUGUUCAUUAAUCUUGAACUUUGAUAUGAUUAACUCUUUUGUUAAUAUCUUUCAUGUCCAUAGCAACUUUAUUGAGAACUGUUGAUAAUUCCUGAACUACUAUUCAUUGUUCACCGUUAUUACGAUAUUACUUGCUGGGCAAAUUUGUUCCUCAUCCUUGCUUCCUUAAAACUUUCAGUUAAGGCAGAACGCGGUGAACCUUCAGCCAAGGACAAGGGAAUAGAUAAGGCUUCAGAAUAGCUUUGUUUCCUAGGGUUAGGAAUUUACUAUUAUUAUGUUGUGUGAAUACUUAGUUACUAUGAUGUAAUAAGUUAUGUUAAAUUAAGUUUUAAUAUUGUAGUAACGGUUCGAGACCUUGGGACGAGAAUAAUUAUGUUAUGACAUUAUAAAUUAUUCUAGUAUUCAGUUGUUAAU